rnacentral:sRNA from 1 species
CUUGUCAUUUAGAGGAAGUAAAAGUCGUAACAAGGUUUCCGUAGGUGAACCUGCGGAAGGAUCAUUCAUAAUAAGUGUUUAUGGCACUUUUAAAUCCAUAUCCACCUUGUGUGCAAUGUCAGUCGAUCUUCUUCAUGGAGAUCGACCAAACAUCAACCUUUAUUUUUUAACUCUUUGUCUGAAAAAUAUUAUGAAUAAACAAUUCAAAAUACAACUUUCAACAACGGAUCUCUUGGCUCUCGCAUCGAUGAAGAACGCAGCGAAAUGCGAUACGUAAUGUGAAUUGCAGAAUUCAGUGAAUCAUCGAAUCUUUGAACGCAUAUUGCGCUCUUUGGUAUUCCGAAGAGCAUGCUUGUUUGAGUAUCAGUAAACACCUCAAAGCUUUUGGAUUUUUUAAUCGAAAAGCUUUGGACUUGAGCAAUCCCAACACCAAUCUUUUUGAGAUCGGUGGCGGGUUGCUUGAAAUGCAGGUGCAGCUGGACAUUCUCCUGAGCUAAAAGCAUAUUCAUUUAGUCCCGUCAAACGGAUUAUUACUUUUGCUGCAGCUAACAUAAAGGGAGUUUGACCGUAUUGGCUGACUGAUGCAGGAUUUCACAAGGGUCGGCAACGAUUCUUGUUAAACUCGAUCUCAAAUCAAGUAAGACUACCCGCUGAACUUAAGCAUAUCAAUAAGCGGAGGAAAAGAAACUAACAAGGAUUCCCCUAGUAACGGCGAGUGAAGCGGGAUGAGCUCAAAUUUAAAAUCUGGCUGGUUUACUAGUCCGAAUUGUAGUUUAUAGAAGCGUUUUCGGUGGCAGCCUGGGUAUAAAUCCUUUGGAAUAGGGUAUCAUAGAGGGUGAGAAUCCCGUCUUUGACUCAGUGCAUGCUACUAUGUGAUACGUUUUCAAAGAGUCGAGUUGUUUGGGAAU